rnacentral:rRNA from 1 species
CAGCCGCCACGGGAAUACGAAGGGGGCUAGCGUUGUUCGGAAUUACUGGGCGUAAAGCGCACGUAGGCGGACAUUUAAGUCAGGGGUGAAAUCCCGGGGCUCAACCCCGGAACUGCCUUUGAUACUGGGUGUCUAGAGUAUGGAAGAGGUGAGUGGAAUUCCGAGUGUAGAGGUGAAAUUCGUAGAUAUUCGGAGGAACACCAGUGGCGAAGGCGGCUCACUGGUCCAUUACUGACGCUGAGGUGCGAAAGCGUGGGGAGCAAACAGGAUUAGAUACCCCCGUAGUUCCUGUCUCUUAUAC